rnacentral:tRNA from 1 species
GCCGUGGUGGUGCAGUGGUCAGCACACCCGAUCCUGGUAACCCACGUUCCUUAAAGUCGCUCGUUUACCUUGAUACACUCGCUUAAGGAUUGGGAGGUCGUUGGUUCGAAUCCAACUCACGGUG